GAGUUUGAUCAUGGCUCAGAACGAACGCUGGCGGCAGGCCUAACACAGCAAGUCGCACGCUUCUCUUCGGAGGGGCGUGGCGCACGGGUGAGUAACGCGUGGGAACGUGCCCUGGGGCCGGGAAUAACAGCGGGAAACUGCUGCUAAUACCCGGUACGCCCUGCGGGGGAAAGGAGCAAUCCGCCCUGGGAGCGGCCCGCGUUGGAUUAGCUAGUUGGUGGGGUAAGAGCCUACCAAGGCGACGAUCCAUAGCUGGUCUGAGAGGAUGAUCAGCCACACUGGGACUGAGACACGGCCCAGACUCCUACGGGAGGCAGCAGUGGGGAAUAUUGGACAAUGGGCGCAAGCCUGAUCCAGCCAUGCCGCGUGAGUGAAGAAGGCCCUAGGGUUGUAAAGCUCUUUCGCACGCGACGAUGAUGACGGUAGCGUGAGAAGAAGCCCCGGCUAACUUCGUGCCAGCAGCCGCGGUAAUAC
rnacentral:rRNA from 1 species